rnacentral:rRNA from 1 species
CCUACGGGAGGCUGCAGUGAGGAAUAUUGGUCAAUGGGCGUAAGCCUGAACCAGCGAAGUCGCGUGAGGGAUGAAGGUUCUAUGGAUCGUAAACCUCUUUCAUAAGGGAAUAAAGUGCGGGACGUGUUCCGCUUUGUAUUGACCUUAUGAAUAAGGAUCGGCUAACUCCGUACCAGCAGCCGCGGUAAUACGGAGGAUCCGAGCGUUAUCCGGAUUUAUUGGGUUUAAAGGGUGCGUAGGCGGGCUUUUAAGUCAGGGGUGAAAGUCUGUGGCUCAACCAUAGAAUUGCAGUUGAAACUGGCAGGCUUGAGUAUGUUUGAGGAAGGCGGAAUGCGUGGUGUAGCGGUGAAAUGCUUAGAUAUCACGCAGAACCCCGAUUGCGAAGGCAGCCUGCCAAGCCAUGACUGACGCUGAUGCACGAAAGCGUGGGGAGCAAACAGGAUUAGAUACCCCUGUAGUC